GUAACGAGCGCAACCCUUGUCCUUAGUUACCAGCACGUUAUGGUGGGCGACUCUAAGGAGGACUGCCGGUGACAAACCGGAGGAAGGUGGGGAUGACGUCAAGUCAUCAUGGCCCUUACGGCCUGGGCUACACACGUGCUACAAUGGUCGGUACAAAGGGUUGCCAAGCCGCGAGGUGGAGCUAAUCCCAUAAAACCGAUCGUAGUCCGGAUCGCAGUCUGCAACUCGACUGCGUGAAGUCGGAAUCGCUAGUAAUCGUGAAUCAGAAUGUCACGGUGAAUACGUUCCCGGGCCUU
rnacentral:rRNA from 1 species